AGACCCGAAACCCGGUGAUCUAGCCAUGGGCAGGUUGAAGGUUGGGUAACACUAACUGGAGGACCGAACCGACUAAUGUUGAAAAAUUAGCGGAUGACCUGUGGCUGGGGGUGAAAGGCCAAUCAAACCGGGAGAUAGCUGGUUCUCCCCGAAAGCUAUUUAGGUAGCGCCUCGUGAAUUCAUCUCCGGGGGUAGAGCACUGUUUCGGCUAGGGGGCCAUCCCGGCUUACCAACCCGAUGCAAACUGCGAAUACCGGAGAAUGUUAUCACGGGAGACACACGGCGGGUGCUAACGUCCGUCGUGAAGAGGGAAACAACCCAGACCGCCAGCUAAGGUCCCAAAGUCAUGGUUAAGUGGGAAACGAUGUGGGAAGGCCCAGACAGCCAGGAUGUUGGCUUAGAAGCAGCCAUCAUUUAAAGAAAGCGUAAUAGCUCACUGGUCGAGUCGGCCUGCGCGGAAGAUGUAACGGGGCUAAACCAUGCACCGAAGCUGCGGCAGCGAACGUAUCACCCAAGACAACUUUACGGAGUUGACGAUUGACGGAGCGAAGCGACGUCAAAGCGUUCAUUAAAGUCGAGUUGGCUUAGGGAUACGUUCGUUGGGUAGGGGAGCGUUCUGUAAGCCUGUGAAGGUGUGUCGUGAGGCAUGCUGGAGGUAUCAGAAGUGCGAAUGCUGACAUAAGUAACGAUAAAGCGGGUGAAAAGCCCGCUCGCCGGAAGACCAAGGGUUCCUGUCCAACGUUAAUCGGGGCAGGGUGAGUCGACCCCUAAGGCGAGGCCGAAAGGCGUAGUCGAUGGGAAACGGGUUAAUAUUCCCGUACUUGGUGUUACUGCGAAGGGGGGACGGAGAAGGCUAUGUUGGCCGGGCGACGGUUGUCCCGGUUUAAGCGUGUAGGUGUGUGUUCCAGGUAAAUCCGGUUCACUUUAACACUGAGGCGUGAUGACGAGGCACUACGGUGCUGAAGCAACAAAUGCCCUGCUUCCAGGAAAAGCCUCUAAGCAUCAGGUAACAUCAAAUCGUACCCCAAACCGACACAGGUGGUCAGGUAGAGAAUACCAAGGCGCUUGAGAGAACUCGGGUGAAGGAACUAGGCAAAAUGGUGCCGUAACUUCGGGAG
rnacentral:rRNA from 1 species